rnacentral:sRNA from 1 species
CCCUAGCCCUGAUAGCAGUGAAAAUCCUUUUUUGAGGUUUUUUCAACCGAGAAAAAGAUUGCAACGAAUAGCAGGAAACAGC